rnacentral:rRNA from 1 species
GACGAACGCUGGCGGCGUGCUUAACACAUGCAAGUCGAACGAAGUGGCGAACGGGUGAGUAAUACGUGAGUAACCUGCCCUCCUUUUUGGGAUAAGACUUGGAAACGGGGUCUAAUACCGAAUAAUGGGGGUUGGGCUUGCGGCCUAUCAGCUUGUUGGUGGGGUGAUGGCCUACCAAGGUGGUGACCGGUAGCCGGCCUUGGCGGGUGACCGGCCACCUUGGGAUUGAGAUACGGCCCAGACUCCUACGGGAGGAAGCAGUGGGGGAUAUUGCACAAUGGGCGAAAGCCUGAUGCAGCGACGCGGCGUGGGGGAUGAAGGCUUUCGGGUUGUAAACCUCUUUCGAUAUCAAACGGGUAGGUGGAGAAGAAGCGCCGGCUAACUACGUGCCAGCAGCCGCGGUAAUUC